rnacentral:rRNA from 1 species
GAUGAACGCUAGCUACAGGCUUAACACAUGCAAGUCGAGGGGCAGCGCAGUGUAGCAAUACAUGGGCGGCGACCGGCGCACGGGUGCGUAACGCGUAUCCAACCUUCCCGAUACUCAGGGAUAGCCUUCCGAAAGGGAGAUUAAUACCUGAUGGUGUUCAAAUUCCGCAUGUUAUUUGAACUAAAGAUUUAUCGGUAUCGGAUGGGGAUGCGUGACAUUAGAUAGUAGGCGGGGUAACGGCCCACCUAGUCUACGAUGUCUAGGGGUUCUGAGAGGAAGGUCCCCCACACUGGUACUGAGACACGGACCAGACUCCUACGGGAGGCAGCAGUGAGGAAUAUUGGUCAAUGGACGGAAGUCUGAACCAGCCAAGUCGCGUGAAGGAAGACGGUUCUAUGAAUUGUAAACUUCUUUUGUCGGGGAGUAAAGUCAGCUACGUGUAGCUGUUUGCAAGUACCCGAAGAAAAAGCAUCGGCUAACUCCGUG